AAGUCAAUGGAGAGUGAUGAACAGCGGAUAAGAAUUCAAAGAGACAGAGUUUCAGCUCUCAAAAGAUCUUAUCAAAUACUAUUCAUUUAGCUCCUUUUAUAGACGAGUAGUUGGCAACCGUCUGUAAUGAUUAGUCAUGUGGGUCUCGUUUAUUUCGGUAUUAUGUGAUCAUGGGAUUGAUGGUUAUACCUGCCAUUGAUCAUGUUCCGGCCAUUAUGCACUUUCUG
rnacentral:lncRNA from 1 species